UCGCCCCUGCUCCAAACAUUGUGGUGUCUCUACUGCUGCACUUGAACGUGUCCUCACCCACAGCAUCUCAUCAUGAUAUAAUAGUUGCAAUAGGUCUGCAGUGGAUAAGAAGGAUUGCAAAAAUUCAGCCAUGGCAGUAUAAAAGACAACUUUCAUGCCUGAAAAUGGGUCAGAGCUGAAAAGUUGUAUUUUCGGGCUUUGAAAAGUAUCAUGUUGAAAAUGAAUCUUCCUUUAACAAACUGAACAAUUUUCUGUUUAUCAGAGGUGGAACAACCAUUUGAAUUGCACAUGUCUGUCAUGUGACCUCUGUUUUUGCCAGGUAGAAACGAUGGAGUCUCUUAUUCAGCUGCUUUCAGAGACACUGGGGAAUCUGAGUGAUAGCGAGCUCAUGGACUUAAAGAAAGGCCUCAAGAGGAAAUAUAACUCAACCGUCCCAUGGAGGUUGCUGAAGGUGGCAGACACAGUGUUUUUAAUGUUACAGGCUUAUGGCCAACAGUCAGUAAAGAAAACCAUGGAGGUUUUAAAGGAGAUGAUGAUGACGGAUCUGACUCAGCAGCUGUCAGACAGCAGCUCAGAGCCAACAAGUUGCAACAAUGGCAGCUGUUAAAGAUCUGCUUCUAGAAACACUGGAGGAUUUGAGUCAUCAGGGUCUCAAGGAGUUCAUGUGGUUCCUGCAGUUCACAUGUUUUCAGAGGGGCCUUCCACAAUUCCCACCGAGUACAAACAGAAAAUAUAUAGUGAACACGAUGGUGCAAACAUGUGGCCAACAGUCUGUGGAGGUAACCAUUGAUGUUUUCAGGGACAUGCAGAGAACUGAUCUGGUGCAGAGGCUGUCAGAGAGCAGCUCAGGACUCAAAGAGAAACUUUGUGGAUGAAUGCUGGGCUGCGCUGAGCCAGAGAGUAGAAACGUUGGCGUCUGUUAUUGAGCAGAUUUUGGAAACCCUGGCUGGUCUGAGUUACUGGGAACUUGAGGUUUUCAAGGAAGUCCUGCAUAAACUUCAUUACAAACAUUAGUCAGACAUCCAAAGAAUCAUCUACACGAGGACAGACCUGCAGGACACGGUGUUUUUCAUGGUCCUGACUUACGGUGAGCGGUCAGUGGAGGAGACCAUGGAGGGUUUAAACGAGAUGAAGGGGGCUGAUCUGGCUCAGAGGCCGUCAGACUGCAGCCCAGAACCCAAAAGUAAGACAACAAAGAGGAAAUAAGUUAAAUGAACUCUGGUGGUUAAGAUGUCUCAUAAGUAAAGUUUUUGUCUUUCAUAAAAAAUAUUGUAGAGAAAAGACAGAUUGUUGUCCAAAUCAGAAUUUAUGAGUGUUCAAGGAACAAAAAAAUGACAAAAAGUGACUCCUUCAGUCUGAGAGACUGAAUAACACAAACAGUGUCUAUCAUAGUUGAGCUUUAAAUGUAAUGUUGAAGAUUAUACAA